rnacentral:rRNA from 1 species
UAGGGAAUCUUCCACAAUGGACGCAGGUCUGAUGGAGCAACGCCGCGUGAGUGAAGAAGGCUUUCGGGUCGUAAAACUCUGUUAUUGAAGAAGAACGUGUGUGACAGUAACUGGUCAUGCAGUGACGGUAUUCAAUCAGAAAGUCACGGCUAACUACGUGCCAGCAGCCGCGGUAAUACGUAGGUGGCAAGCGUUGUCCGGAUUUAUUGGGCGUAAAGCGAGUGCAGGCGGUC